UAACGGCUCACCAAGGCAAUGACGCCUAACUGGUCUGAGAGGAUGAUCAGUCACACUGGAACUGAGACACGGUCCAGACUCCUACGGGAGGCAGCAGUGGGGAAUAUUACACAAUGGAGGAAACUCUGAUGUAGCAACGCCGCGUGGAGGAUGACACAUUUCGGUGCGUAAACUCCUUUUAUAUGGGAAGAUAAUGACGGUACCAUAUGAAUAAGCACCGGCUAACUCCGUGCC
rnacentral:rRNA from 1 species